GACGAACGCUGGCGGCGUGCUUAACACAUGCAAGUCGUACGGUAAGGCCCUUUCGGGGGUACACGAGUGGCGAACGGGUGAGUAACACGUGAGUAACCUGCCCACAACUUUGGGAUAACGCUAGGAAACUGGUGCUAAUACUGGAUAUGUGCUCCUGCUGCAUGGUGGGGGUUGGAAAGCUCCGGCGGUUGUGGAUGGACUCGCGGCCUAUCAGCUUGUUGGUGGGGUAGUGGCCUACCAAGGCGGCGACGGGUAGCCGCCCUGAGAGGGUGACCGGCCACAUUGGGACUGAGAUACGGCCCAGACUCCUACGGGAGGCAGCAGUGGGGAAUAUUGCACAAUGGGCGCAAGCCUGAUGCAGCAACGCCGCGUGCGGGAUGACGGCCUUCGGGUUGUAAACCGCAUUCAGCAGGGGCGAAGCUUUUUGUGACGGUACCUGCAGAAGAAGCACCGGCUAACUACGUG
rnacentral:rRNA from 1 species